UUAGUGGCGAACGGGUGAGUAACACGUGAGUAACCUGCCCUUGACUCUGGGAUAAGCCCGGGAAACUGGGUCUAAUACCGGAUAGGAGCGCCUGUCGCAUGACGGGUGCUGGAAAGAUCUUUCGGUCAUGGAUGGACUCGCGGCCUAUCAGCUUGUUGGUGAGGUAACGGCUCACCAAGGCGACGACGGGUAGCCGGCCUGAGAGGGUGACCGGCCACACUGGGACUGAGACACGGCCCAGACUCCUACGGGAGGCAGCAGUGGGGAAUAUUGCACAAUGGGCGAAAGCCUGAUGCAGCGACGCCGCGUGAGGGAUGACGGCCUUCGGGUUGUAAACCUCUUUCAGCAGGGAAGAAGCGAAAGUGACGGUACCUGCAGAAGAAGCACCGGCUAACUACGUGCCAGCAGCCGCGGUAAUACGUAGGGUGCGAGCGUUAUCCGGAAUUAUUGGGCGUAAAGAGCUCGUAGGCGGUUUGUCACGUCUGUCGUGAAAGUCCGGGGCUUAACCCCGGAUCUGCGG
rnacentral:rRNA from 1 species